rnacentral:rRNA from 1 species
GACAGAGGGUGCAAACGUUGUUCGGAAUUACUGGGCAUAAAGAGCACGUAGGUGGGUUGGUAAGUCAGUGGUGAAAUCUCCAGGCUUAACUUGGAAACUGCCAUUGAUACUAUUAAUCUUGAAUGCCGUGGAGGUCAGCGGAAUAUGUCAUGUAGCGGUGAAAUGCUUAGAUAUGACAUAGAACACCAAUUGCGAAGGCAGCUGGCUAGACGAAUAUUGACACUGAUGCACGAAAGCGUGGGGAUCAAACAGG